AAACUAACAAGGAUUCCCCUAGUAACGGCGAGUGAAGCGGGAAGAGCUCAAAUUUGAAAUCUGGUGGCCUCAGGUCAUCCGAGUUGUAAUCUAUAGAAGUGUUUUCCGUGCUGGCUCAUGUACAAGUCCCUUGGAACAGGGCGUCAUAGAGGGUGAGAAUCCCGUCCUUGACAUGAACUACCAGUGCUCUGUGAUACAUUUUCAACGAGUCGAGUUGUUUGGGAAUGCAGCUCAAAAUGGGUGGUAAAUUCCAUCUAAAGCUAAAUAUUGGCGAGAGACCGAUAGCGAACAAGUACCGUGAGGGAAAGAUGAAAAGCACUUUGGAAAGAGAGUUAAACAGUAUGUGAAAUUGUUGAAAGGGAAACGAUUGAAGUCAGUCGUGCUCUUUGGAUUCAGCCGGUUCUGCCGGUGUACUUCCUUUGAGUGGGGUCAACAUCAGUUUUGAUCGCUGGAUAAAGGCGGGAGGAAUGUAGUACCCUCGGGUAAACUUAUAGCCUCUUGUCACAUACAGUGGUUGGGACUGAGGAACGCAGCAUGCCUUUAAGGCCGGGAUUCGUCCACGUACAUGCUUAGGAUGUUGACAUAAUGGCUUUAAACGACCCGUCUUGAAAC
rnacentral:rRNA from 1 species